UCAUGUUUGAUGCACUCUCUAUGUCCAAUUAUUGCUGUGCUGUCUAUUUGAGAUGAAAUGAACAUUGUGGACAGUUUUCGGCAAGUUGCAACAUUGAAAUACAGAAAAAACUUUUUUUCCAUAAACAAGCUCUAAAUCAUGUUUGAUGCACUCUCUAUGUCCAAUUAUUGCUGUGCUGUCUAUUUGAGAUGAAAUGAACAUUGUGGACAGUUUUCGGCAAGUUGCAACAUUGAAAUACAGAAAAAACUUUUUUUCCAUAAACAAGGUCUAAAUCAUGUUUGAUGCACUCUGUAUGUCCAAUUUUUGCUGUGCUGUCUAUUUGAGAUGAAAUGAACAUUGUGUGGACAGUUUUCAGCAAGUUGCAACUUUGAAAUACAGAAAAAACUUUUUUUCCAUAAACAAGCUCUAAAUCAUGUUUGAUGCACUCUGUAUGUCCAAUUUUUGCUGUGCUGUCUAUUUGAGAUGAAAUGAACAUUGUGGACAGUUUUCGGCAAGUUGCAACAUUGAAAUACAGAAAAAACUUUUUUUCCAUAAACAAGGUCUAAAUCAUGUUUGAUGCACUCUGGAUGUCCACUUUUUGCUGUGCUGUCUAUUUGAGAUGAAAUGAACAUUGUGUGGACAGUUUUCAGCAAGUUGCAACUUUGAAAUACAGAAAAAACUUUUUUUCCAUAAACAAGCUCUAAAUCAUGUUUGAUGCACUCUGUAUGUCCAAUUAUUGCUGUGCUGUCUAUUUGAGAUGAAAUUAACAUUUUGGACAGUUUUCGGCAAGUUGCAACAUUGAAAUACAGAAAAAAACACUUUUCCAUAAACAAGCUCUAAAUUAUGUUUGAUUGCACUCUGGAUGUCCAAUUUUUGCUGUGCUGUCUAUUUGAGAUGAAAUGAACAUUGUGGACAGUUUUCAGCAAGUUGCAACAUUGAAAUACAGAACAAACUUUUUUUCCAUAAACAAGGUCUAAAUCAUGUUUGAUGCACUCUGUAUGUCCAAUUUUUGCUGUGCUGUCUAUUUGAGAUGAAAUGAACAUUGUGUGGACAGUUUUCAGCAAGUUGCAACUUUGAAAUACAGAAAAAACUUUUUUUCCAUAAACAAGCUCUAAAUCAUGUUUGAUGCACUCUGUAUGUCCAAUUAUUGCUGUGCUGUCUAUUUGAGAUGAAAUGAACAUUGUGGACAGUUUUCGGCAAGUUGCAACAUUGAAAUACAGAAAAAACUUUUUUUCCAUAAACAAGGUCUAAAUCAUGUUUGAUGCACUCUGGAUGUCCACUUUUUGCUGUGCUGUCUAUUUGAGAUGAAAUGAACAUUGUGUGGACAGUUUUCAGCAAGUUGCAACUUUGAAAUACAGAAAAAACUUUUUUUCCAUAAACAAGGUCUAAAUCAUGUUUGAUGCACUCUGGAUGUCCACUUUUUGCUGUGCUGUCUAUUUGAGAUGAAAUGAACAUUUUGGACAGUUUUCGGCAAGUUGCAACAUUGAAAUACAGAAAAAAACACUUUUCCAUAAACAAGCUCUAAAUCAUGUUUGAUGCACUCUGGGAUGUCCAAUUUUUGCUGUGCUGUUUAUUUGAGAUGAAAUUAAUAUUUUGGACAGUUUUCGGCAAGUUGCAAUAUUGAAAUACAGAAAAAAC